rnacentral:rRNA from 1 species
GAUCAUGGCUCAGAUUGAACGCUGGCGGCAUGCCUUACACAUGCAAGUCGAACGGCAGCAUGGAGAGCUUGCUCUCUGAUGGCGAGUGGCGAACGGGGUGAGUAAUACAUCGGAACGUGUCCGUUUGUGGGGGACGAACUGUCCGAAAGGAUGGCUAAUACCGCAUAAGACCUGAGGGUGGAAAGGACCGGGGGACCGGCAAGGCCCGGGCGCAGACGGAGCGGCCGAUGAUUG